AGUGAACGCUGGCGGUAGGCCUAACACAUGCAAGUCGAACGGCAGCACAGUAAGAGCUUGCUCUUACGGGUGGCGAGUGGCGGACGGGUGAGGAAUACAUCGGAAUCUACUUUCUCGUGGGGGAUAACGUAGGGAAACUUACGCUAAUACCGCAUACGACCUACGGGUGAAAGCAGGGGAUCUUCGGACCUUGCGCGAUUGAAUGAGCCGAUGUCGGAUUAGCUAGUUGGCGGGGUAAAGGCCCACCAAGGCGACGAUCCGUAGCUGGUCUGAGAGGAUGAUCAGCCACACUGGAACUGAGACACGGUCCAGACUCCUACGGGAGGCAGCAGUGGGGAAUAUUGGACAAUGGGCGCAAGCCUGAUCCAGCCAUACCGCGUGGGUGAAGAAGGCCUUCGGGUUGUAAAGCCCUUUUGUUGGGAAAGAAAAGCAGCAGGUUAAUACCCCGCUGUUCUGACGGUACCCAAAGAAUAAGCACCGGCUAACUUCGCG
rnacentral:rRNA from 1 species